rnacentral:misc_RNA from 1 species
UGAGGACUAGCUCUGGUGCUG